GUAGGGGGCUAGCGUUGUCCGGAAUCAUUGGGCGUAAAGCGCGCGUAGGCGGCCCGGUAAGUCCGCUGUAAAAGUCAAAGGCUCAACCUUUGAAUGCCGGUGGAUACUGUCGGGCUAGAGUCCGGAAGAGGCGAGUGGAAUUCCUGGUGUAGCGGUGGAAUGCGCAGAUAUCAGGAGGAACACCAACGGCGAAGGCAGCUCGCUAGGACGGUACUGACGCUGAGGCGCGAAAGCGUGGGGAGCGAACAGGGAUUAGAUACCCUGGUAGUCCACGCCGUAAACGAUGGGCACUAGGUGUGGGAGGUGUCGACUCCUCCCCCCCGUGCCGGCGCUAACGCAUUAAGUGCCCCCGCCUGGGGAGUACGGCCGCAAGGCUA
rnacentral:rRNA from 1 species